GACGAACGCUGGCGGCGUGCCUAAUACAUGCAAGUCGAGCGGAAAUUUUAUUGGUGCUUGCACCUUUAAAAUUUUAGCGGCGGACGGGUGAGUAACACGUGGGUAACCUACCUUAUAGAUUGGGAUAACUCCGGGAAACCGGGGCUAAUACCGAAUAAUACUUUUUAACACAUGUUUGAAAGUUGAAAGACGGUUUCGGCUGUCACUAUAAGAUGGACCCGCGGCGCAUUAGCUAGUUGGUGAGGUAACGGCUCACCAAGGCAACGAUGCGUAGCCGACCUGAGAGGGUGAUCGGCCACACUGGGACUGAGACACGGCCCAGACUCCUACGGGAGGCUG
rnacentral:rRNA from 1 species